UGCUGGUAGUGGUUAGUGAUGGUCGUGGGAGUGCUGGUAGUGGUUAGUGGUAGUGUGUAGUUUUAUAUAUCGCGUGGUCGUUGAUGGAAAUGGCAUCUGUUAUAAUCGCUGAGGAAGAACCCCACAGACCAAGGCAGCCACGCGCUGAUCUGGCGCCAUCAACAAUUGCCCAAGCUCUGCGAUCCACCACAUAGACUGUUUAGAUAUUUUCAGGAAAUUCAUUGAUUAUACGUGGAGUGGUGAUGUUGAGGCGUGUGUGUGUGUGUGUGCUGGCUCAUGCUUUCUUCCACUAUUUAUACCACAAAAAACACAGACACUUGUCUGAUUAAAUACUGUUUACACAACGACAAAUACCCCCCCCUCCCCCCACAGUAUAGCAUUUUCUGACUAUUGGGGCAAGUGCUGUUCGCGAACACCCGAAGAGAAACACGAGGGGGUGGAGAGAGAGAGGGGUGGAUUAUUUAUCAGCGCCCGAGUGGCAUUGUCCUCCACGCACGUGCAGUGUGCUUGUAUGUGGAGCGAGUGGCUGCUGUCUACUUGUGGAGGUGGAGAUGAUGGACGUUUGGGUGAUCCGUCUGGCCUCUAUUUCACCCCCUUCCCCACCCCCACCGCCACCACAUAAUCCACUGUGCCCGAGUUUUUGUCCCUAAUUCUACUCAUCGGCACGGGCAGCCAGUGACGUGCGUGGUUAGGGUUUUGGUCAGACAGGGUGACACAGCCAUCGCGAGUUGUCAAACCGGAUGUGACACAGCCAUAGCGAGAGGUCAUACCGGACGUGACAGAGCCAUAGCGAGAGGUCAUACUGGAUGUGACACAGCCAAAGCGAGAGGUCAUACCGGACUUGACAGCCAUCGCGAGUUGUCAAACCGGACGUGACACAGCCAUAGCGAGAGGUCAUACCGGACGUGACAGAGCCAUAGCGAGAGGUCAUACCGGACGUGACACAGCCAUAGCGAGAGGUCAUACCGGACAUGACACAGCCAUAGCGAGAGGUCAUACCGGACGUGACACGGGCAUAGCGAGAGGUCAUACCGGACUUGACAGCCAUAGCGAGAGGUCAUACCGGACGUGACACAGCCAUAGCGAGAGGUCAUACCGGACUUGACAGCCAUAGCGAGAGGUCAUACCAGACGUGACACAGCCAUAGCGAGAGGUCAUACCGGACGUGACACAGCCAUAGCGAGAGGUCAUACCGGACUUGACAGCCAUAGCGAGAGGUCAUACCGGACUUGACAGCCAUAGCGAGAGGUCAUACCAGACGUGACACAGCCAUAGCGAGAGGUCAUACUGGACUUGACAGCCAUAGCGAGAGGUCAUACCGGACGUGACAGAGCCAUAGCGAGAGGUCAUACCGGACGUGACAGAGCCAUAGCGAGAGGUCAUACCGGACGUGACACAGCCAAAGCGAGAGGUCAUACCGGACGGACACAGCCAUAGCGAGAGGUCAUACCGGACGUGACACAGCCAUAGCGAGAGGUCAUACCGGACGUGACACAGCCAUAGCGAGAGGUCAUACCGGACGUGACACAGCCAUAGCGAGAGGUCAUACCGGACGUGACACAGCCAUAGCGAGAGGUCUUACCGGAUGUGACACAGCCAAAGCGAGAGGUCAUACCGGACGGACACAGCCAUAGCGAGAGGUCAUACCGGACGUGACACAGCCAUAGCGAGAGGUCAUACCGGACUUGACAGCCAUAGCGAGAGGUCUUACCGGAUGUGACACAGCCAAAGCGAGAGAUCAUACCGGACUUGACAGCCAUAGCAAGAGGUCAUACCGGACGUGACACAGCCAUAGCGAGAGGUCAUACCGGACGUGACACGGGCAUAGCGAGAGGUCAUACCGGACUUGACAGCCAUAGCGAGAGGUCAUACCAGACGUGACACAGCCAUAGCGAGAGGUCAUACCGGACGUGACACAGCCAUAGCGAGAGGUCAUGCCGGACUUGACAGCCAUAGCGAGAGGUCAUA